rnacentral:rRNA from 1 species
GAGUUUGAUUCUGGCUCAGGAUGAACGCUGGCGGCGUGCCUAAUACAUGCAAGUCGAGCGAGAUGUUAGUGCAUGAACCUUCGGGGGAUUAUACUAACGGACAGCGGCGGACGGGUGAGUAACGCGUAGGCAACCUGCCCCUGACAGAGGGAUAGCCAUUGGAAACGAUGAUUAAAACCUCAUGACACCGUAGAAGCACAUGCUUCAUCGGUCAAAGAUUUAUCGGUCGGGGAUGGGCCUGCGUCUGAUUAACUAGUUGGUGAGGUAACGGCUCACCAAGGUGACGAUCAGUAGCCGACCUGAGAGGGUGAUCGGCCACAUUGGAACUGAGACACGGUCCAAACUUCUACGGAAGGCAGCAGUAGGGAAUCUUGCACAAUGGGCGAAAGCCUGAUGCAGCAACGCCGCGUGAAGGAUGAAGGCCUUCGGGUUGUAAACUUCUGUUCUAAGGGAAGAAAGAAAUGACGUACCUGGAGCCGCC